rnacentral:rRNA from 1 species
AGUGAACGCUGGCGGCGUGCUUAACACAUGCAAGUCGAACGAGAACGGAUUAUAGCUUGCUAUAAUUGUCAGCUAAGUGGCGCACGGGUGAGUAAUGUAUAGGUAAUAUGCCUCUUACUAAGGGAUAACAAAUGGAAACGUUUGCUAAUACCUUAUACUCCUUAUUAACAUAAGUUAAUAAGGGAAAGAUUUAUUGGUAAGAGAUUAGCCUGUAUUGUAUCAGUUAGUUGGUGGGGUAAUGGCUUCCAAGACUAUGACACAUAACUGGUUUGAGAGGAUGAUCAGUCACACUGGAACUGAGACACGGUCCAGACUCCUACGGGAGGCGGCAGUGGGGAAUAUUGCACAAUGGACGAAAGUCUGAUGCAGCAACGCCGCGUGGAGGAUGACACAUUUCGGUGCGUAAACUCCUUUUAUAUGAGAAGAUAAUGACGGUAUUAUAUGAAUAAGCACCGGCUAACUCCGUGCCAGCCGCCGCCGUAA